GAGUCCAGGGCUCUCGAGAAGGUGGCGGUAAAUAGCAAAGAGAGACUGCGCAUGCUUAAGGCCAUUUGAACUCCAGGUGCUCGUGCAAUUUUGGCGGAGACGUUAGUGUCUCUUUCGAGUUUUAAAAAAAAGGACUCUGAUGGUGCAGCUGUUCAGAGGGAGCUCGAGCAACUUACCUUUGGCAUCUACAGCAUCAAUGUUGAGGGAGGUGACGCCACUACUCCUCCAGCUGAUGUUGGCACAGUGAUCGAGGGUGUUGAGGUUCUGCAUGACUUGGGAGACAUAGCCUCUGCAUAUGCUCUGAACCUCAGUUAUCCCAAGGAACUGAAAGCCUUCUUUGAAGUACUUCAGAAGCUCUUCCUCCAACUUGAUGCAUGCAGACUCUCAUCCAAGGUACAGAUGCUCAAGAACAAACUGUGUGAAUGAUCCAACUGUUGUUUGGAUGCUGAAAAUUGUUUGGGCUUUGGUGAGCGAACCGACAUGUAUGUUUAAAUCUGAAUCUGCAAAAAAAGUGCCAUACAUAUUUUCAUUUAAUUCAUUUAAUUUUUUUUUUUUUACGUGGGUUUCAGAUAUAUUUUAUGUUUUAUUAUAUUAAUUCAUUUAUAUGGCUGAAAUAUUAUUUUCUGGCAGAUGCAGUAUGUGGAGUAUACUUUGCAUAAUUCAUACAAAAAAAUAAGGAGAUUCGACCAUUUGUAACAACUUGCCAUGCCCACUUUCAAGUUUAGUUAAACUAGUUCUAGGUUGUUCACGCCCACCUAUUACAUCAACAUAUUUUACAAUUAGAAGAAAAAUAGGCAGAAUAUUUUCAGCAAGGUGUUUGUUAUUUGGUUAGACCAUUAUGCUGUCAUGAAAAUUUGAAAGCUGCAAACAUUGAUUUGUCAUUGCAUUGGUAGUUUACAGCUGCUAGUAAUGGAGCAAGCUAUACCAAUGUUUCUGCCUGAAAGUAUGGUUAACAGUUCAUUAUGUUUAUUGUUUUGUUUUUUCUUGAACCAACUGCACCAGAAUUUUAACUGCCAUGUUAAGAUUGAUAAUAAACGAAAUAUGAAAAAUA